rnacentral:rRNA from 1 species
ACACUCCUGCGGGAGGCAGCAGUGGGGAAUAUUGGACAAUGGGCGCAAGCCUGAUCCAGCCAUGCCGCGUGAGUGAUGAAGGCCCUAGGGUUGUAAAGCUCUUUCACCGGUGAAGAUAAUGACGGUAACCGGAGAAGAAGCCCCGGCUAACUUCGUGCCAGCAGCCGCGGUAAUACGAAGGGGGCUAGCGUUGUUCGGAUUUACUGGGCGUAAAGCGCACGUAGGCGGACUAUUAAGUUAGGGGUGAAAUCCCGGGGCUCAACCCCGGAACUGCCUUUGAUACUGGUAGUCUUGAGUUCGAGAGAGGUGAGUGGAAUUCCGAGUGUAGAGGUGAAAUUCGUAGAUAUUCGGAGGAACACCAGUGGCGAAGGCGGCUCACUGGCUCGAUACUGACGCUGAGGUGCGAAAGCGUGGGGAGCAAACAGGAUUAGAAACCCCAGUAGUCCCAUG